CGAGACAGGGACAAGGAGAUUCUGGCGUGUAACAAGGUGGCGCGAGCAUACGAGGAGUACAAGCUCGUGUGCAAGAGGGAGGAGGCGUGGGACAAGGAGAAGCUGCGCGACGAGUUUUUCCGCGUGAAACCCCACGGCAGGACCUUCUCCAACCGGAGUGCCGUCAAAUACGACAUCUUCACCAUGGAGUACGAGGACAGCUUCUACGGAAGACAAUUCAAGCACGAGGAUGACUUGGCCAGGUGGCGGCAGACUCUGCGCAAGCUCUUCCUCCAGGCCCGCUCCAGCGGCGUGCCAGACUUCAACAUUGUGGACUGGCGGCGGCUGCCCGCGCCGGUGGAGCCCGCGAGGCCGAGGCCGCCCGGGCCCGACCCGGCC